UACGUAGGUGGCAAGCGUUGUCCGGAUUUACUGGGCGUAAAGAGCGCGCAGGCGGUCGGAUAAGUCGAAUGUGAAAGCCCCCGGCUCAACUGGGGAGGGUCAUUCGAUACUGUUCGACUCGAAGGCAGGAGAGGGAAGUGGAAUUCCCGGUGUAGUGGUGAAAUGCGUAGAUAUCGGGAGGAACACCAGUGGCGAAGGCGGGUUGCUGGGCUGAGACUGACGCUGAGGCGCGAAAGCUAGGGGAGCGAACGGG
rnacentral:rRNA from 1 species